rnacentral:rRNA from 1 species
CCUACGGGAGGCAGCAGUGAGGAAUAUUGGUCAAUGGGCGCGAGCCUGAACCAGCCAAGUAGCGUGAAGGAUGACUGCCCUACGGGUUGUAAACUUCUUUUAUAAAGGAGUAAAGUGAGACACGUGUGCCUUUUUGUAUGUACUUUAUGAAUAAGGAUCGGCUCACUCCGUGCCAGCAGCCGCGGUAAUACGGAGGAUCCGAGCGUUAUCCGGAGUUAUUGGGUGUAAAGGGAGCGUAGGCGGAUUUUCAAGUCAGCGGUAAAAUGUCCGGGCUCAACCCGGGCCGGCCGGUGAUACUGGGGAUCUUGAGUGGGCGAGAGGUAAGCGGAAUGCGUGGUGUAGCGGUGAAAUGCAUAGAUAUCACGCAGAACUCCGAUUGCGAAGGCAGCAUACCGGCGCCCGACUGACGCUGAGGCACGAAAGCGUGGGGAUCGAACAGGAUUAGAUACCCGAGUAGUC